rnacentral:lncRNA from 1 species
CUCAAUGGCCCCCACUGGGGUCCGUGUCAGCAUGCCUGGACCAGCUCAGAACAAUGCCCCCCACCAAUGUCUCAGUCUCCAGAGAGGUCCCUCCUCUCACCCAGAUGCCCUCGGAGCCCACCAGUAAAUCUUCGGUGGGGAAGAAUAUGAUGACAAAGGCCAUUAAGAAAGAUUAUUAGGAGAGCUCCAAAUAGAUGGAUUAGAGAAGCGACAGUCUGGAACGAGGAGGCUGUAGUUGUAAAAGAGGAGAAGUGAGGUUUCCACGAACUUUAACCAGGAAAAGCUAAACAGGUCUUGGUGGUGGAACAGCUGUAGAGGAUGGCAGCAUAAGUAAAUCAAGAUCAAGGGCUGGUGCGUGGGAAGGGUCACGGUGGUGGCGACACUCGGACGGCCUUGCUCCAGUUCUCUGCAUCCUGGCUCUACGCCCUGUACCAUCAAGUGAGAUGUUGCUGAGGAGGACGGGAUGUCAGCUUUUCAUGGUGCAGCAGUGUCAGAGGACCAACUUCUGUUCAAUUCCUACCCCUUCAUGUGUGGGAGACAAGAAGCCUGAGACGUGAGAGCUGUGAGGAGGGAGGUGAGGGAAAUACUGGAUUCCCUGGAAGCUCAGCCCUCAGAGAUCCUGCAUGAGCUCAUUCUGAUACCGACCCUGGUAUCAGUUUCCCCACAUUAAACCCAGCAUAUAGGGGGUUAAAAGCAAAACACCCAUUCCCUGCUUGCUCUCUGGCUUCCUGGCUCCAGAAUCGACUAUUCUCCAUGGAGACAGACACCAUCAAGGACAAGCACCUGGACUAUCUCCUCCCGCAAAGACAUACGGGCUGGUGGGAAAGCUGCUGACCAGCAAGGUCAUGAGCUCCCUCCUGUCUGCAAGUAGUCUCAAGGUCAAAGACAGGCUGGUGGGAAAGCUCCGACCAGCAAGGCCAUAUGCUCCCCCUCCCCUACCUAAAGCCCUAAAUAAAAACCCUUCCUUUUAGCUUUUCGGGGAGUUUGGGAUUUGAGCGUUAGCUGCCCUCUCUCCUUGCUCAGCGUUGUGCAAAAAAAUAAAGUUCCUACUUUCUUCCACCACA